GUUCACAUGGUGUAGUGGUAACACAUCCUUUCAUUAUGGUUUGGGGCGCUCUAUCUACAAGGGAUGUCGCGGGUUCAACUCCCGCUGUGGACA